CCUUCACGCAGCAGGCGCAACCGCCGCGGAGCGCUGCUGUCUCCGGCGUCCUCGCAGCAGAUCCGCUGUCGCCUCCCUCGGUUUCUCUCUCGGCGACAACAGCCCAUGGCUGCCGCCGUCCUGAUCCCGACAAGACUCAUCCCAGCCAGACCAGACCACCUCUCUCUCUCUCCGGCCGUGGCCGGGCAGCAGCGGCACCGCCGCCGUGCCCUGCCUCCCUCCGCUGAAGCCCAACCUCCCAUCUCUUUCUUCUCUUCUUCCCCUAGCUGCGCCCCCAACAUCCCUCUAUUUCCCUCUCAACAAUCAAACACACGCGCACGGACAUGGCGUAAGCCACGCCGCCGCCGGAUACAGGACAGCAAACGCCCCACCGCGGUGCGCCGCCGCCUGCUCCUUCUUUUCCGACAAAUAGCCGAAGCUACCUCCGUCUCCGCCCCGCCCGAAAUCGAUCGGAAACGACGACAGGUUCACCGCCGCCGCUCCGUUGCCGACGACGAGCCACCGAGGUUGUCAUUUCCCGACCUCGACUCACACACAAAACAGGGGUGUCAAGCAUCAAAUCAGUUCAAACAUAGGGUUUUCUUGUGCAAAUUCACUUUACAACUGUAAUACUCAAUAUAAAGUCUUUUAUUCAUCUGUAAUUUCAUUUCACAUAUAACAUAUCUUGUGAACAUAUAGUGAAACGUCAAGUAACUGUGUGUGUUGGGAUUCUGUGUUGGUGAUUUGGAGAAUUAAACAAAAGGGGAUAAUACCUUGAGUAGACGGUGUGGGAUGUUUGUUUCUUGUUACUGAAAACUUCUUGUGGUUUUGUGAAAGUAAAUGGAGAUGCUUUACCCAAUA